GAGCCGUUGGUGAGAGGAGCGGGCUGACGGUUACGCGGGUAGCUGUUGCCGCUGUGGGGGAAAAAAAAAAGUGAGGAUGCCACUCUGGGACGUCCCUGUGGGCCGCACCGAAGCCCGCGAGCCCGGGGAACGGCAGAUGUCACCUCACGCCCGACUCCCGGUGGGCUGAGGGACUCUGUGCCCUUGUCACACUUCCUUCUCGGAGGGCUUGGACGGUGCUCUUCGCCGCCACCUCUGUUCCCGCCCGCCUUGUCAUCGUGCCUGCUGGGCGGAUUUUCCGGGCUCUGGCACCCAGUCAGCCUGUGAGUGCGGAGUCGCCCCCAGCUUGCCACCAGGGAAGUCAGAUGAUGCUGUCUUCUGUUGGUUACUUCAUAGCACUUCCAUUUUCAAAGAACAUCUUCCUGAGAAUAAACUUGGAAAGUAAUGUGACCACAAAACAUCAUAUUCACAGAGUUCAAAGGGAUAUUGGAUACAGAAUAAGAAAAUAUGAGAGAUUAAAACUCAGGAGUUGAGUUCUAGCCUGGAAAACAAGAUGAGAGAACUUUCCAGCCUGCACCAAUGUUCACAGUUCUGAUUGAAUUACAAAAUUUUUCUUCUUUUGAACUCAGAAGUCACUUGGAAACUUUGAGGGAAGUUUCACCACAUCCUUUAAGCCUUUCUUCUGGUUAGCAGGGGAGAUCCAUUAGAACUUAGAGAAAUAUCCCAGCCUCCAGUAUCAGUAGCCUUGCCAGCCUACCCCUAGGAUGCCUGGCCAGGCUUCAUUGUCAGUGUGGUUCACGGUCACAGUUUUACCUUCAGCUAGCCAUAUUUUCCUGGAUGGUCUUAAACUAUUUGCUGAGUUUGGGUUUUUUGUUUUGUCUUAUUGGAUUUUGUUUGUUUGGUUUGUUUGUUUGUUUUGCAGAGAGUUUUCAGACUUUCUGUUAGGUAAAUUUUAAAUUACCAUUAAGAAAUGCUUUCCAAGUUGUGCAUUGCCAAGUAACUGCUUCUCACUAUUCUAGUUUCGUUGGAAUUUUGGUAUUUUUAUUUUGUGUCUUGAUCUUUGGACACGAACCACACCAUUAUUAGUUUCUACUAGAGAUAUUUGUGUGUGUGGCAUGUGUACUUGAUCAUGUGUAUGUCUGCACAUAACGUGCACAUAGGUGUAGAGGACAGAGGUUGACUUUGGGUGUUUUCCUCCAUCACUCUUCCUCCUUAGGUUUUCACCGAAGGUCUCUCACUGAACCUGUGAUUCAUCAGUUCAGACAGGCUGGCUAGCCAGCAAGUUUCCAAGAUCUACAUGUCUGCCCUCUCAGGCCUGGGGUUAUCAGCCAUAUUAGAUGAGCACUUUACUAACUGAAUCAUCUACUACACCCUGUGGAAACAAUGUAUCCAGGGGAUUUUUAUCUGGGGCUUUCUUAUUCAUCUACUUUAUCUUCUUUCUAAGUAUCCUUUCCUGGCAUUUGUUACAUCACAGGCUUUUGUAUCUGUAUUUCUUGACUCCUUCCUAGUUAUUUCAGUCCUGCUUUCCCUUUUUUGUUAUCUUAGCCGGGACUCUUAAAGCGUGUGUGGGCAGCUGCUCCUCUGUGGCCUUUAUGGGCCUCUCCUCUUGAGAAAGUACUUUAUUAAGGCAAACCGCAGCUCCUGUCAGUCAGUCAGUUUCAGGGCUACAAGUACUACUUAUCAUUCUCCUCCAUAGUCAAUGCAAGUUCUAUGUCCCUUAGGUUGUUUCUUCCAUAAGCCUAAGGGCUUUGCUUGUAUGACCCAAAUCCUCAUUCCUGAAUUUAAAAAAAAAAAUGUGUAUCAGUAAUUAUUUAUAUCUUACUCUGGAAUUGCUGCACAUAUCCUUCCAAAUUACAAUUUGGAAUCAAAAUGUUCCCAGAUCAGUUACCUAUAUGUUUUUCUCUGCCUACCAUCAUUUUGGUUUCCUAUUGCUCUAGCUCAGUUACCACUGCCAAGAUGGGAAAUCCUUGCCUGCUCAUACCUGGAUCCAGAGUUCAAAAUCAAAAUGGCUCUAACAUAGUCUAGUGGGACUCUUAUUGUGUCUCCUGGCAGAAAUGCAUCCCAUUUGGAAGCCAGGACUUUUAUACCUUCAGUGUACAGAGUUAUGGGGACUGGAAAGUGUUCCCUAACAAGUCAGUAGGACUGGUGUUCAGUGGGGUCAUUUCUGCUUUCUCUGUUUUGUUCUUGGAACCAUGUGUUUGUUCUUAGUAGGGAUAAUAAUCCAAGCCAGUGUAUGUACUACUUCCUGAAGGAUGGCAUUUAAUCCUUAUGAAACCCUGCUUCUGAACUGGCACUUCAGUUAUACCAUUAUUACAUUGAAAGCAAACAUUAAACAGCUAGGUCAGAAACACUGAGGAAGGUAAAUAAGAAGGCUUGCACUUGGCUAUGAAAUAGCCAAGCUGAGCAGGUAAGAGAAGAGGCAGAACUCUGGGCUGUUUCAGCAGGGCCCAGGAGCCCCACCCUCUCCUGCAGCAACAUGUGCAAGGUAUUGUUGCCCUUUCCCUUAGUAAACAUCUAAAAUUUACAGGUAGUUAACCCUCAUGGAUAACCAUGCAUCUAAUUGUAACAGACUGAAUUGUGGGUAAUGGCUUCUGAGAAAGCCUGCACCUUUUUUAGGAGGGCGACCUCUCCAGACUGCCCCAGGGAUAGACAAAGGAGAACUGGUGGGCAAAGUCCAGACGCUAGAGGCAUUCCUUGGCCAUUGCCACUUGGCUCACAGUACCCUCCCAUCUUGCCUUUGCCUUCCCACCUGCUACAGUAAACCUCAAGAACUUGUUUGCCCUACCUGUCCCCUAAUGUGAAUCUCUUUACUUGAGAUUGGAGGACAUGUGGGAGGAGACAUCUCUAACACCCUCAGUAGGUUGCCUGGUGAUCGAUCUGUCAAACUGAAUGACCCUGUUGAUUCCCUGGUCAUGAAUUCACAUGUUAUCUUUUUACUGUGAAGUAGGUCCCGUUUGCAUGCUGUUGAAUUGGAUCCCAUACCUGUGGUUCAGGCAUUCUUUAAGGAACUAAGUCAUGAUAAUAUAGGCCAAGGCACUGAAAGGCAUAACAACAAGUCCAUACCCAGAAUUCACCCCUGUUGGGAUAGACCACUAGCUACUCCAAAAUGGAAAGAGUCCAUGUUAUUGACCAGGUAUCUGAUUUGUCUUGAGUAAUACUGCAGUAUUGAGAACACAGUGUAGUCCUCUGCUCCUAUCAGGUUCCUUAGAAACAGGUGUAGAUAUGGAUUGGCUUUUGUAGCUGGGAAUUUAUGUUGUGACUCACAUAUAGCCUCCUGUGCAAACAUGACAACUCAUGUGUUGUCUUAGUGACAGUUCUAGAGUAGGCCAUGACAAACACUUGCUUAACACCAACUGAUAGAAUCCUUUGUCAGUAUGAAUUUUUCUGUUUCUCUUUCAUGAUGGAUGUUCUAGUCAGAAUGAACCUGUCAUUAGCCGCUAAGCAAGACAGGCACCAUCAGGGACAGAAUCCUAGGUUGAUGCACCUUCAGGGUAUCCUUUCUUUAUUUGCAGCUAAGGCUCUAUGGCUUAAGAGCAUUCCUUGGGGCGUGUCUACUCAUUAGUUUUUGCUCUGCAAGCUCCAGAAUGUGUCUACUAUAGCCUCUUUUAAAACUAUGACCUUAAACUGAAUCUGCUCAGGGAUGUACUCCUUAACUAAGCCUGCCCCUUGCUCAGUCCUGGGCCAAUCCUUACGUGAAUGUGUAUAGGCUCUCGGAAUACAAUUCCCAUGCUUGCUUUAUUGGAAGAUGUUUGGAAAGAACACCUUUGUUCGCCCUUAUCUAUUGCAAGUAAUCUUUCUCUACUCUUUUUAUAUAUUGACUGUGAUUAUUUUGGCUUGCACUCAAUGAUAUGUGACCCCAUUAUAUUUGACUACAAUAUAAUAAAAAAGAUCCUCACUCCAUGUGACCACAUAUCUCCAUUUCUAUACCUCUCUUCCUUACCUCAUUGUCUCUGACCUUCCAGUCUUCUCUGCUGAGAAAGUCUAUACAGGAUGAUCAUGCCAUCAAACACUUGAAACUAACAACAGUAACAAUGAGAAACUGAAGUGGAAAUUUAAGGGCUCUUUGGAAAGUCAUCUGUGUUGAUGGUGUUUUGCUGGGGCAGACACGUGCAGUACCAUUCUCCUGAAGCGGACCCAGGAGAGAGGAUGCUCUGCUAAAGCAAGCACGUGAACAGACACGUGAUGGAUUCUUAGCCAACUACACACAUGAAUUGGUCUACCUUACAUUGCAUAGUUGAGCUCCUUUUAUUGGGACUCCAUAGAAAGAAACACACCAAAAAAACCGCUGGUGUGCUGUGGCUUCUUGAUGCUGCAAGGCCCCGGGCCAAUUCACAGAGUGACGUCAGCUGAUACAGACUCACAUGGAGUUUGGCUAAGUCAGACUCACAUGCUGAGGCAAGACCUGUGGAGGACACCUGAUGUUUGGAGGAAAUAUAAAUAGGACUCAAUGGACAGUGACCAGGGCUUGGUGUAGAGCUAGCUGUGCAACACUUGUUGGUCUUGAAUCUUCUCUGACCUUCACUUCGCUGAGAGAAGUACAGCUGAGAACUUGUCCUGACAUCCCUGCUGGUCCAAACCCCUCCUGCUGACUUGUGCCGAUUUGGCUGAGGCAUGGCUGUGUCUGCUAGGACAUGCCACCGCUGCUGUUUGCUAUGCCAACUCAACUGCUGGUGUAUCUGUGAAGUUUUUGUCAGUGAUCGAGCUGCUGCUGCUGCUGCUGACCUGUGGACUGAAUUGCCAAUUUCCUGACAACACAGAUGUGAUUUGUUCCAAAGAACCAUUUCUAAACAGGUCCACUUCCUCCAUCUCCUUUCUUUUCUACUACCUCUGGUGGGUGGUGGACUACAAGGGAGGUUAAAGUGCUUAAGACCCAUCAUUAAUAAGUUUUGAAAAAAAUCAAAGUUAAACAACAAAGUCACACACACACACAGUGGCUUCUGCUAUGAUAAAACGAGAAGGCCAUGGGUCUCUCUGUGAAAUAAUUUUGCUUCUUACCCAGUCAAACCCAUAGACCAAGGGUGUUAACAGUCACAAUCAAUACAAAGGGGAGCAUGACAAAAUGACACACAGGGUCACAAAUCAGGAAAUCCAGAAUGUGAGAAAGUAAUAAAUGACCAAGUUCCUCAAGAACACCAAUAGCAAGAAAUUCGUUUUUUAAAGUGAUUAUUGUAUCUUUAAAAAGAUGAAACAUAUCAAGUCAAAUCUGACAGCUUAUAUGUGACCCCAACACUGGGGAGGAUGAGGCAGGAUCACCACAAUAUAAGACCAGCCUGGCUGCAUAGUCUGUUCCCUAAUGCAAUAUGCAGGCCCAAUUUAAACGGAAUCAAAGCAACUAUUUUAAAAAUUACAAAUAACAAUAUGUAUGGGACCAUGGUUUUGAUCUGAAACAUUAAAAAUACCUACGAAAGAAUUAAGCUAGAUAUCUGCUAUUAAGGAAUGGUAAAACCUUCUCACAGGAUACUGUGGCAUUAUUUUUUAGAUAAUUAGAUAUAUCUAAAUGCCAAUUGAGAUUUGCUUUAAAAUAAUCUGGAAUGGAGAUAUGUUGAUAUCAGUGGGUCUCAGAUCUACAAAUCAGAAGAGAUUAAAACACAAAUUCCUGGGCUUUGCCUUAGAGAUUCUGGUUCAGGAUCUGAGAUGAGGAUAAUGAUGUCACAUGUCUAGUAGUCUUUCAAGGUGGUGCUGAUCUUGGCAUCUCUAACACCCUGGAAUCUCCAACAAAAGCCACAAUUUUAAAUAAUGGCUUCUGAAGGCCUCCAUUCAGGGACUCCCCUGCCAAAUACCUGGCCUCACUCAGUUCACCACAAGGCCCCUCAGAGACUGUGACUAAACUGAAGACUUCUAGAGUGAAGGGUGAUUCUGCACUGAAGACACAAAACGACUGCUGGAAGUCAGAAGCACCAACUGCAGUGGUUCUCAAUGUUCCUAACACUGUGACCCUUUAAUACACUUCAUGUUAUAGUGACCCCCAACCAUAAAGUUAUUUUCAUUGCUGCUUCAAAACUGUAGCUUUGAUACUGUUAUGAAUCGUAAUGUAAAUAUCUGGGUUGUCUGAUGGUCUUAGGUGACCCCCUAUGAAAGGGUCAUUUGACCCCUAAAGGGGUCUCAACCCACAGGUUGAGAACCACUGACCUAGACAUGCAGAAGACAUCACUGUCCUUCCCCCUGCACUUUUUGAUUCAGGAAACCUGGAGCGGGACACAAUAGUUCACAUUCUUAAGAUAGUCCUGGCCAGUGCUGAUGCUCUUUAAAAUCAAGUAUCACUUCUGCUGUGCCCAACAAGUGUUAAUACUUAGCUCAGGGAGAAGCAUUUGUAUAGCUGAGUUGUUGAACUAAUCGCUUAUAGAACACUAGUUUUGCUUGAGAGACUGAUGGCAAACAGUGGUUAUUUGGUCCUGGGUAUUUGGUAAUUUUUCCUGAAGAAUAACUACUACAAAGAAAAUAACUGAUAUUUAUUCCCAAUGACAAAAUUUGAACUUUUAGGUGGAAGCUAGAAUUUUUGGGAAAUUUGUAUCAACUAUCUUGAAUGUAACUACAUAUCAAUAUUUAAGGAUUUUUUUUUGUAGUAAAAGUAAUGAUACUUCCAAAUG
rnacentral:lncRNA from 1 species